UGAAAAUUAUGAAACAUUUUUUUGCGGGGAAGACGAGGUUUUGAGCUUGAAGACGACGAAUGCAGGAUUUAUUUCAGCUCUACACUGCAAAAGAAAAAAAAAAGACAGGUAUUAAACAACAGAGCAAAUGAAAGUGAGCUAACAUUCUUAGGAAGUGUCUGUCCGAUCCGAGAUGCCCAAAGGGAGGGAGGAUCUUUGUCCCUCACAUGGAGAGUAUCACGAGGAAUAUACUAAAAACUGAAGACAUUUGCGUGGAAUUUGCAUCACCAUGAGGUGUGCCUACCCCAAUCAUACGGUAGGCAAACCACGAGACAGAGAGCAGCCAAUUCAAGGUCUACAGGCAGCAGCGCAUUAGGGACUCCUGCUUGGCCGCUAUUGGCUCCCAAAUCUGAAUGGAUGUUUAAAUAUGCUGUUAAUCCGGGCAUUAAGAUUUAAGAAACACGCCCACUUGAGCAUUAAGAAACCUCCAUGACAAUAAUGUGGAGAUUAUAUGGGUGUCAUGCUGUUGGAUUUGUCGUUUGCAGGGGGAUUACAUUGCAGGCUUUCCUUUCCUGCCUGCCUUGUAUUUGGCAAUGUCUUGGUCCCCCCCAUGCUUUGUUUAAUCAGAAUGCCUUUUGUUUAUUUAUAGCCACCAUAAUAGUUGUUCAGGUCCAUGUACUAUGCUCAUUAUAUUGACCCAUUUGCAUUACUAAUCCUUAGUAGCCCAGAUGGAUGGAUUGGUUCAUCAGUUACCUGAAACAUCAAUGUAUCAGCAUCUGGGGAACAAAAUUGACCUACUAACUGUGUUCCAUAACAAGACAAAACCCAGAAAAAAAUCAUUUGUAAGAAACAAGGAUCAUUAGCCUCUGAGCUCAUUGUUUACAGGUAGGUGACAUUGCUCUAUCUCACAGUGGCAUAGGACUACCCAAAGUGGUAUAAAAGGAUUUCACUGUCUGCCUGAAUAGAUCAUGGUGAAAAGUAACGUUUCAGUAACAUUCAGCAACUUAUGUGUCCAAGGAAGCCUAUUCAGAUGAAAGACUAGUUUAGUCAGUUGUUUGGCAUCUAUACAUGAGUUGGAUUGACUUGAAGCCUUGGCAUUUGGCAGGGAAGAUGUCAGUGUUAUCUACUUUUCUAAGCUUUGGGGCCAAGCGUAAUCUAUGCAGGCAGCCUACUGGCUUUCAAAUUACCAGUGAAUAGACAGAACAAAAUUAACUAUGGAGCCUAUGCUAUGUGUGAGGAACGGAAAGCUCCUGUAGGAUAGGCAAGCAACGAAUAUGCCAUGCAACUUGUUCUACCUAUUAAUUUUGACCGGAUUUCUUUGCUACGAAAAUCAUGCUCCAUCCACUCUGCACCGCGAUUAAAGACAUCCCCAUCGAUCCGCCGGUGAAUUUUCCAUGAUGCUUCUCCUCUCCUAAUCUGUUGCUAUAUCUUAGGCUGCUGCAUAUCUCAUAUAGUUAUGAUAGCAAAGAUCACAUUCUUGAUUCAAAGCAGCAAGCACUUACUCCCAACUGUCAAUAAACUAGUUAGUAAUCCUGCUCGACAGAAUAACAUGGCGAGUGUUCAUACUAUCGAUUGACCGAUUCUCGCAUCCAAUGAGCUCUGAUGUGUGAUCGAUUCUUCCUUCUUAGGUGAUGUGUUGUACUCCUACAUGUGAGCAUUAAGCAAAGUGUUGUGCAUGGUACAAGAGAGAUAAUUAUAUAUAUGAGCUAGAGGCUAGUGGAGGGGACUUGAAAGUGCAUGUAAAGAGGGCCGGGAAAGCAAAGCAUGAAGGAGCAAGCUUGGGUUAGGCUCUAAUCUAUGGAGAUGGAGGGCAGCAGGCAUUUGCAUCUCUGACCACUAAAGGAUGGCUUCAGGCCUUUGAUGUGGAUCCACUUGUCGACGCGCGGUGGGAUCGUUCAUCAUAUAUAUUUCAUUGCAGAAUGGCAUUUUUGCGCGCCAGAAUAAAGCGAAAGACGCCUUUUCCCUGCGCCUUCAGCUCUGUUUCUGCUAAUAUAUUUUAUGUUUCAUUGAUUCCUCCUAAUGCUUGUGGGUUUUAUUUUUCAGCUCAAGUUUAUCGUCAGUAGACCCCUCAGGCCUGAGCAGUGGAUGCUGAUAAGCAUGGACAUGGAGAGGGAAGAGCCCAUUGGCUGCAACUGCGACGCAAAACGAUUCUAAAUGGCCAUCUUUUAUGUUAAACUGCCAAGAACCUUCUGAAUGUUGGAACCAGCAGUGCCUGCACAUAGACACAAUGUACUUGGUCCCCAACUCCUAACCUAUCUGCACCCUAGGGGCUUAUGAAAUGCUUCAUUCAACUGGGGACCGUUACAAGCAAUGCAACCGACUUCUGUCGACAGCCCUGUCAUCGCAAUGGUGACCGUAACGGGCUAACGGCACAGGAGGAACCAUGCAUCUUGCUGAAUUCAAUUCAAAUAUUUAAAUUCUAUAGAAAUUGAAGGUUCUCUCUAUGAAAUUUAGUAGUAUGUUCCCAGCAUCGCUCUAGUUCCAGUGGCUCACUUGGCCGGUCUUAUCGCCGGCAAAUUGGCACUGUUCCAGCAUGUGGGUGAACACGAGUGCAGAUAGCAAGUAAAGCUUGUAUGAUGGAGGAGGAUAGGAUCUGGAUCGAAGCCUGGAAUUGAAAUGGGCCAGCAGCAUGUGCAUUCAAUCUAGCGUAGCGUUAGGUGAGACAACUGACCUGAUCUUGACAAAACCAAUUCUUUUAAAUUUCUCUGAAUUUGACUUGAUUUGAUCGAUGCGGCCGCUCACUCUCCUCGUCAAGAGGGCUGGCACGACUUCUUUUUCGCACCGUGCCGUGUCAAGCCUGUUUUGGACGUCUGAAAUGACCUCCAAAUUGACCAGGUGUAAAGCAAGCACUAGCUUUCAAUGUCUG
rnacentral:lncRNA from 1 species